rnacentral:rRNA from 1 species
UACGGGGGGAGCAAGCGUUGUUCGGAUUUACUGGCGUAAAGGGCGCGUAGGCGGCCAGCACAAGUCAGUUGUGAAAUCUCCGAGCUUAACUCGGAAAGGUCAACUGAUACUGUGCGGCUAGAGUGCAGAAGGGGCAACUGGAAUUCUUGGUGUAGCGGUGAAAUGCGUAGAUAUCAAGAGGAACACCUGCGGCGAAGGCGGGUUGCUGGGCUGACACUGACGCUGAAGCGCGAAAGCCAGGGGAGCGAACGGG